rnacentral:lncRNA from 1 species
CCAGAACCCAGACCUGGGUCACAGGCCCCGCCAGGCCUCGGGGCAAAGGUCACACAGCAGUCCCUGCACGCCAGGUCCUGGACGUCCAGGGGGUGAGGCACGUGACGUGACUGAGACCAGAGUCAAGGGCAAACUCCCCACCCCUCAGUGGGAGGGCGCCACAAAGUUACAGAGCAGAAGCCUGGACACAGGUCAUGGUGAGGCCUGGGGACACCAACACGAUCUGUCAUGGGGGGGACAGAUAACUCAACUUUAAAGUCAAGGCUGCUGGAUCAUGACAAGGCAUAUCCCAACCCAGUGUGCUCAUCACCUGGAGAUUCUGGACCUGGAGGUGGACGUCGAGACCAGACCGGCUUUAGGAGGCAGAGAAUGUGCUCUGUGGGAGGUGACCUUGGAGGCCGCAUGUUCCCAAAGACAGUUGGAAGAUGCAGAAGAGCAGGACGGCUCCGCUCGCACCGAGCCUGGACGUUCAGAGAAGGACCGAGCGCAGGAGGCCCGCCUCGAGCUCCCUCUGCUUCUCCCAGGACACCUUUCAAAACGACUGCUCAGAGUGGAGCCCGAGAAAAGUGAGUGCUCUCUGCCCCAACCACCCUGCACAUAACAGGUGCCCACCGCCCUGCUAUCCGUCUCCUGCGGGCUCAGGACCUGGACAGAGGACUGCCCUUCCCCCAUCUCCCUGCCCCCCAGCUCCUGGAUCUAUGGUGAUAAACCUGUGACCCCACUUCCUUUGUGUGAUGGUCCUGAAAUGGCGCCUUGCGUCAAAAUGACCCUGGGGUUUUCACUUCCCCAGCAGAGUGGGAGCUGGGACGCCCAGGGAGCAACCUGCUAACCCCGUGUGGGUGGCUCGUGCCCCAUCAUUCAGCAGGUCAUCAUCUGCAGAUUCUUAAUUCACUACACCAGCUAUAGUGCCCCCCACACAAGACCCGAUCUCCAAAUACAGCCACAUGGGAGGUUGGGGCUUCAACAUACGUGUUUUGGGGGGACUACUCAGUCUAUAACACUAAAGGAGGUAAAAAUGCCAGAACUCAGGAAAGCAGGAAUGCCAGAUUGGAUAUGAGCUCGGAAGACCAGUGUAUUCGUUUCUUCUCACUGCUGUAAACAUGUGCAAAUUCCUGAAAACUUGGUGGCUUAAAACGGUUUUGUGGUUUCUCACAGUCUGGAGGCCAGAAAAUGAAACUGAAAUCAAGAUGCCUUAGGGCCCUGUUCCCUCCGAAAAGUCUAAGGGAGUGUCCUUUUCCUGGGCUUUUCCAGCUUCUAGAAUGGCAUUCCGUGGAUCAUGGCCUCUUCCUCUGUCUUCAAAGCCAGUCGCCUGGCAUCUUCCAAUCUCCCUCUGCUUCCAUCCUCGCAUGACCUUCUUCUGCCAAAUCCCCCUCUGCCUCCCUUAUGGGCCCUGGUGAUGACAUCGGGCCCACCCGGAGAAACAGGCUAAAUUUCCUCAUUUCAGAAUGCUUCAUCGCAUCUGCAAAGGGAUUAGAACCUGGAUAUCUCUGGGGUCCUUAUUUAGCCGAUCACAGCCAGAAACCCCACCAGCGGGUUGUGCUCUGUGGGAGGCCCUAAAGGAAACUUCAUUUACCAAUGUAACAGGAGUGUUCGGGUGAGGAGAGCACCAGCAUCAGCGAGAAGGCGAGUGGAGGCCGGCCACUGUGGGCCAGGCCGAUGGCAGGGAUGCUCUUUCAGAACUGUACUCCCAGAGCACCUGGGACAAUGGGACCCGAAACAGCAGAAGGCCAGGAGCAGCACCCAAACAUCAGAAGCAAGGAGGGUGCAUUAUCAGAGGCCCAGCAGGGUGGUCUUGGAGCCAGGGGCUCAGUGACCGGCAGAGAGCUGAGAGACCAUCAGUAAAACAUGGCAUUCCUAGGUGAGACCCAUGGGCAGCCAGCAAGGAUACUGCACCAUCUCUAUGAGCAAAAGAAAUUAACAAGGUCUGCUCAGGAGGCUGAGAACGGCCAGCCUAUUACAGGCUGAACCAUGUCCCCCAAAUUCAUAUGUCAGUCUUGACCCCCAGCACCUCAGAUGUGACCGUAUUUGGAGAUGGGGUCUUUAAAGAGGUGAUUAAGGUAAAAUGAGGUCACUAGGGUGGGCCCUAAUCCAGUGUAACUAGCGUCCUUAUACGAAGAGGAUAUGAGGACACAGACACACACAAAGGGACGACCAUGUGAGGACACAGGGAAGAGACGGCGUCUACACGCCAAGGAGAGAGGCCUCAGCGGGAACCAGGCCCACCCACACCUGGAUCUCAGAUGGCCAGCCUCCAGGACUGGGAGACAAUACAUUUUUCCAGUAUGAGCCAUCUUUGUGUAGUGUUUGUCACGGCAGCCCAAGGCAUGGUCCCCUGCCUGAGCUAGUUUUCAGACCCGUAACCACUGACCAAAGGAGGAGUCAGGUCCCCUUAGGAAGGACCCUGAGAUGCCAUGGUGCAUGGAUGUGGUGGACCCCAGCGGCCCUGCCCCACCCCCAAAGCCAUCACCACGACUGGAGAUGUAAUUCAGAACCACAUCGUGGGGAAAGGAGAGCACGCAGGCUCUUCGAGGCUGCUGGACCUGGGCGCCAAGCUGGCACUGACAGCCAGGGAUGGAGGCACCAGUGUGGCCCUGUCAGAGGAGGGCGUAUGGAGGCCAUGGAGGCUUGGUGGCUCACACUGAACCAGGCCACUACUGGGUCCCUGGACCACUGCUUAUUCCCCCCAGACCCCAAAUGUAUACCCGGACCAUCUUAGUGGCUGGCAGAACUCCCCCGUAGGUUGUUGGUCCAGGGGAGCAAAAACCAUCACAGCAGAAGCCUCUGAAACUGCCCCUCCACCAUAGCCAAGACAGGAAAACAAGAAUAAUACACACGCUGGGGAGGAGCAGCGAAUGGUGCCCCUCCGAGAGACCACCAUCGCCCCCAAUUAGUUCACCAGUCCAGCUGCACAAAACGGGAGGAAUGGCGGAGGAUGCUGGCAGACCACUGCGAACUUGUGUCAAGCCGACUGGGCCCUGGGGCGCCCAGACAUUUGGUCAACCGUUAUUCUGGGCAUGUCUGUGUGGGCGUUUCUCAUAGAGAUUAACAUUUGAAAGGAUAGAUAAGGAAGGAACGAGGGCCGAGGCCCGGCCCUCCCUAGUGCGGGCGAGCGUGCUCUCUGCCCAACAGCCUUCCAGCUGGAGCCAGGGUCUCCUCCUGCCUUCAGAGUUGCACCAGACCUUAUACCAUUGGUCUCCCAGUUCUCGAGCCUUCAGACUGCUGAGCUUGGGACUUCUGGGCCUCCAUAAUCACACGAGCCAACUCCUUAUGAUAAAUCCCUUUGUGUAUAUUUAUCCUAUUGGCUGUGUCCCUCUGGAGGACCCUGACCAGUACAUAAGUCAACCGAGCAGUCGCCCAGUGGCAGCUGCUGGGCCAGCUAUGACAUCUUCGCUAGAGCAGAGUGACACAGCGUUGGGUACAUGGUACGUGGCCACCAAUCUCGCGAGUGAGUCCUAUUCCACCCCCAGUAAGAAGGAGCCCUGGAUAUCUCUGGGGGGCCGUUAUCCUGCCCUGCGCCCCUGGGGAAGAGGCACGUGGUAAACCUACGGGAUUGGCCGUGAGGGGCAAGAUCUUGGUACCACGUGUUUGUGUCCUCCAGGAGAGGCAAUAAGCAACCGACAGGUAGAAUGGCCUCUGACACUGGCCUCCCAAAUGCUGGCCCACUGGGCCAAUGAAUGGGGUAGCCUUGGGGACAGACGUGGAGGCUGUCUAUGGGGCCAACAGCAUGGCCUCAUCCACCAAGGCUGAUCCAGCUAGGACCGCAGCCAAAUGUCCAACCUGCCAGUCACAGGCUGCUAUUGAGCCCCAGCUAUGGUGCCACCCUUGAGGGGGGCGUUCAGGUAAACCACUCACUUUGGAGACUUCCCACUGCAAGGGGCAGCUUUGCAUCCUCAGUGGAACUGACACACACACCAGGCUGAUCAUCCCCGACCACAGGAUCUCAGCCCACCCCACUCUAUGAGGACUUAUAAAGUGUUUGACCCACCAACACGGGAUGUGCAUGGCAUCACCCUGGACCAAGGGACCCACUUUAUGACUUGACAGGAGGUGUGGCAGUGGGCCUGUGGCCAUGCAGUUCCCAGCAGAGACCACAGCACUCAGAGGCCGCCAGCCCCCCAGAGCAUGGGAGCUGCCUUUGGAAAGCUCAGCUGAGGCCACCGCUGGGCUGACACCAUUUGAGAAUGGGGCAUCACGUUGCAGGAUGCAGCAUUCACUCUAAACCAACAAGCACCAUGUGGUGCACCAUCCCCAUUGAGUCUUGGAAUGAGGGAUAGAGCGGGGGUGGCCUCACUCACCAUCACUCCUGAUACCGAACCUCUUAAUCUCAAGUUUGUGUGCCCGAUGCACAGGAAACCAGUCACUGAGACGCAGUGCUUGGAGAUGCGGAAAGGUUUAUUUGAAUUGGCCAAAAUGAGAAGGCAGGAGGAUAGGUCCUCCCAAAUCCACCUUAACAAGAGAAGAAAGCAGGGGGUUUUAUAGAGCUAAGGGGCUUGGGAAGAGGCAUUGAAGAGAAACAAAGAGGUAAUCUGUGUUUCUUGCACUCCAGACAAGCCCUUGGGCAACCUGACUUCUGGGGAUCAAGGGCAGCUGGGGGCUGGUUAUCCCUGAUCUGUAACUUAGCCUCAUUGAAUAUUUACAG